rnacentral:rRNA from 1 species
AUGAAGCUGGGAUUGCUAGUAAUGGCAGGUCAGCAUACUGCCGUGAAUACGUUCCCGGGCCUUGUACACACCGCCCGUCACACCAUGAGAGUUGGAAAUACCCGAAGCCUGUGAGCUAACAGUAAUGAGGCAGCAGUCGAAGGUAGAGCCAAUGAUUGGAGUGAAGUCGUAACAAGGUACC